rnacentral:misc_RNA from 1 species
ACUUUGUAUCUACUUGUAAUAUAACGCAAUAACGCCGAAUCAACGUACACGGAUAAAACGACAUUUUCACAAAUGAACGACCUAACGAGAUCGAUUUAUCGCCCCUGAAACUAAAUUUCAUGAAAAUCGUUUUCAAGAUCAAAAUUAUAUAUGCACUUAUACAAUAAUAUAAUAGUAUAUAUACAAUAAUCGCUGGUUUAAAGGUAUAAGAUUUAAAUUCUUAUAAUAGUUUUUAUCAUAAAAUUCUCAAAUACGAGAGUUAAAUGUAAAUGAUACCUUUUUAUUAUAAUUAUGCUUGUUCUUGUGCUUGCUUAUCUUUAUCUUCUACCAUUUUCCCAAUUUUUUAUUUUUUGUUGUUUAAAAUUAAAUGUACCUCUAAAAAUAGUUAUAUUAUAACCCAUAAUUAGUUGUAAUGGCGAAAACUUUAAAUAAAUACAAAUUUUCAAAC